GAAAUAUCCGAGGGACAUCCGAUCCUGCACGAUGACUUUAAGCUUUUACUAUGUACUUAAUAGUAAAUAUUAUGAUACGUGUUUAUUGUCAGUUAAAUUGCAGAGCAACUAAGAUAAAAGAUUUUUCUUGAGUAUUUGAAUAAAGAAAACAUUAUUGUGAUUGAAGAUGAAUAUAGACCCAAUGCUUUUGAUGUCUGUCGUUUUCGGGAUAAUUUCAGCAGCUGGACAAGAAAACAGGACUUGACGAGGAUUUGAAAUCUGCAUAUUAAUCAACAUAAUCAGCUGAUGAAAUAUAACCAAUUAAAGCGCUUUUGACAUUUUAUUGAUAAAGACAUGUAAACAUAUUAACACUUUUAUGACUAGUU